ensembl:lncRNA
AACCUGUGAUUCAUAAAUGUACAAAGAAAAUCUAUGUCUUGAUAUACAGUUGAAGUCGGAAGUUUACAUACACUUAGGUUGGAGUCAUUAAAACUCAUUUUUCAACCACUCUACAAAUUUCUUGUUAACAAACUAUAGUUUUGGCAAGUCGGUUAGGACAUCUACUUUGUGCAUGACACAAGUCAUUUUUCCAACAAUUGUUUACAGACAGAUUAUUUCACUAAAAAUUCACUGUAUCACAAUUCCAGUGGGUCAGAAGUUUAUAUACACUAAGUUGACUGUGCCUUUAAACAGCUUGGAAAAUUCCAGAAAAUGAUGUCAUGGCUUUAGAAGCUUCUGACAGUCUAAUUGACAUAAUUGGAGUCAAUUGGGUGUACCUGUGGAUGUAUUUCAAGGCCUACCUUCAAACUUAGUGCCUCUUUGUUUGACAUCAUGGGAAUAUCAAAAGAAAUCAGCCAAGACUUCAGAAAAUAAAUUGUAGACCUCCACAAGUCUGGUUCAUCCUUGGGAGCAAUUUCCAAACGCCUGAAGGUACCACAUUCAUCUGAACAAACAAUAGUACGCAAGUAUAAACACCAUGGGACCACGCGGCCGUCAUACCGCUCAGGAAUCAGACGCGUUCUGUCUCUUAGAGAUGAACAUACUUUGGUGCGAAAAGUGCAAAUCAACCCCAGAACAACAGCAAAGGACCCUGUGAAGAUGCUGGAGGAAACAGGUACAAAAGUAUCUAUAUCCACAGUAAAACAAGUCCUAUAUCGACAUAACCUGAAAGGCCGCUCAGCAAGGAAGAAGCCACUGCUCCAAAACCGCCAUUUAAAAGCCAGACUACGAUUUGCAACUGCACAUGGGGACAAAGAUCGUACUUUUUGGAGAAAUGUACUCUGGUCUGAUGAAACAAAAAUAGAACUGUUUGGCCAUAAUGACCAUCGUUAUGUUUGGAGGGAAAAGGGGAGGCUUGCAAGCCGAAGAACACCAUCCCAACCGUGAAGCACGGGGGUGGCAGCAUCAUGGGCAGCAUCAUGUUGUGGGUGUGCUUUGCUGCAGGGGGGACUGGUGCACUUCACAAAAUAGAUGGCAUCACGAGGCAGGAAAAUGAUGUGGAUAUAUUGAGGCAACAUCUCAAGACAUCAGUCAGGAAGUUAAAGCUUGGUCGCAAAGGGGUCUUCAAAUGGACAAUGACCCCAAGCAUACUUCCAAAAUUGUGGCAAAUGGCUUAAGGACAACAAAGUCAAUGUAUUAGAGUGGCCAUCACAAAGCCCUAACCUCAAUCCCAUAGAAGAUUUGUGGCCAGAACUGAAAAAGUGUGUGCGAGCAAGGAGGCCUACAAACCUGAUUCAGUUACACCAUCUCUGUCAAGAGAAAUGGGCCAAAAUUCACCCAACUUAUUGUGGGAAGCUUGUGGAAGGCUACCCGAAACGUUUGAACCAAGUUAAACAAUUUAAAGGCAAUGCUACCAAAUACUAAUUGAGUGUAUGUAAACGUCUGACCCACUGGGAAUGUAAUGAAAGAAAUCAAAGCUGAAAUAAAUCAUUCUCUCUACUAUUAUUCUGACGUUUCACAUUCUUAAAAUAAAGUGGUGAUCCUAACUGACCUAAGACAGGGAAUUUUUAUUAGGAUUAAAUGUCAGGAAUUGUGAAAAACUGAGUUUAAACGUAUUUGGCUUGGGUGUAUGUAAACUUCUGACUUCAACUGUAUAUAGGGCAGCAGCAUGUUAGGUGCAGGGUUAAGUAACCGGGUGGUAGCCGGCUAGUGAUGGCUAUUUAAGUCUGAUGGCCUUCAGAGAGAAGCUGUUUUUCAGUCUCUCGGUCCCAGCUUUAAUGCACCUGCACUGAUCUUCUGGAUGGUAGCGGGGUGAACAGGCCCGGUGGAUGAUGUGGUUGAUGAUCACAUACCUUAGUUACAAAAACUAUAGUGACAAAGAGAGAAUCUGAAUCAGUUUUGAUCAACUCUCACAUCCUCUCCUCUGUCCUCUCCUUGCCUGCUUUUGAAAAAGGUCAAAGGUAAUCGAGGAGUGGAGGCAACGAGAGAAAACGUGGAAACAAAUGCGCUUGAUUGAAAUGAGACUCUCCUUCUCCACUCAAAUUACGUUUAGAGGGGUGGAAACCCAAAAUAAGUGUGUGAAGUGAGAAAACCAAUUGAACUAGUUGUAUGCAAGACAUGUUAUUGAUAAAAGGAUAAGUAGCGUAUUGUUUUUAAAUGUGUGCAUGCUCUCCUUCGAGAAAACAAAAGGCUGAUUCAAAGGGGGUGUGACAGAUUUAAAACACUUCCGUGCUAGACCCCGAGAGGAUUCUCUUGUGCGUCACUUAUCAUAUUCUGGUUCAUGCAGGAGGUGGAUGGAGGAAUCAAUUGAAAAUCUCCCAAAGACCCACAUAAUAACAGAAAAAAUUAAUUCUAAUAAAUAGUAAUAAAUAUAAUCUCAUGGUUGAUUUUAGUAUAAUUUCUGCCUCUUUUAUUUCCAUGAUCAGUAUUUACAAUAUUAAUUUAUACACAUUUAUUCUGUCUACCUUUUUUAGUCAACAUUGUGUAGCACACGGAUUCAUAUUGGAGUAGUGUUCAUUACAACCUCUACUUUCUUGUCAAAAGUCAUGUUAACAUGAGGGCUAAAAUAAAAAAAUACUUUGACGCAAAUGUUCAUCUACAUAUGUUUUUGCUCACUCUUGACUGUCAACCCACUACCACCCCCACUGCAUUCACCCAACAGACAGAGGCCUAGUUAGAGAGUGUGUUUUACCAGGAAGCUACUGUGGUUUUCUGAGUAAGAUUGCUUACUUCAUCUCACCUCAUUUGUGCUACUGCUCAGAACUCUGUUCCAUUGGCUGCAGUUGCAAAUAGUAUUAGGGUUAAGUAAAAUAAGCAUUUAUGCACCGAAAGUAACUAUAUGUGUCAGGCUCAUAAACCAGGUUAUUUUAGUGCAUGAAUAUGCCUAAUAGUUGUUUAUAAUCACAGAGAGAGAAAAAACAAGACCUGCUGUAUACAUGCACAUAAUCCAAGUAAGUGAGAUUGUUAUAACAUGUAAAUAACAUGUAAUAACAUUGUUAAACAUGUUAUAAUAUAUCAAAUUAAUCAAGAACCAGUUCAAAUGUAACACUAUAUUCAAUAUUUUCAGAUAUGUAUAAAAAGAAAGGGGACGAAUAGAAACAGGCACAGCUGCUCAAACAGGAAGUGACCUAAUCUUUUGCCUCUGUGCAAAACUGCGCAAACUUAGUUGUAGAGGUUUGCCCUUUAACUUGUAGCUACUGGAUAUAUGUGCUGGGUACUUCCACUUACAUUUCAGGUACUGCUCACUGCCAUACAUUAAAAUACAGAAAAUGCUCUUGGUCAAAACUGAAGUCUGUUUUUUUUGGAUGGUAUUAUGUUAUACCUCUUUUGCUUCAAUGGGCUCCACUAGGCUCUGCGGUGCUCCUGUCAUGCAGCUUUGGGUCCACCUCUCUGGGCAUUAGCCCUGGCCAUGGCUGGGUGGUGUGGAACCAGGGCUCUGGUUCUGGUGCCAGCCUGGUCAACAUCACGUCCUCUGGGAAGGUGGACUUUCCGGACCCCAGGCAGGGCAGAGUGAAGGCUUUCCCCAAUCAGGGAGGUCUGGGGAACUUCUCCAUCCUAAUCGAUGCCCUUCAGGCCUCAGACGUGGGCUCCUACUGUUGUGAGCUGCAGAGUCAUGACCAGUGCCAUCGAGUGGAAGUUGAAGAACUUGAAGAAGGUUCACACAUCGUGUUGUUUUUCAGCGUCGGCAGUUUGGCCAUCCUCCUAGUGCUCCUAAGUGGCUGUUUCUGCUGAGUGAAAUGGACACGAGUUUCUACUGAAAGAACACCAGACUAUAUCAACACCCAUUUCUGUGCAGGUUGGGCCUCUAUGCUCUUGUUCUAAUCCUCAAUGUUCAUUUUAAUUUUUUGAGAAAGAGAAUGUAUUACUGCUAUGGCAUUUGAGCACCACUUUCAAAUCUGAUUGAAACAUGAAAUUAGUGUAGAAUUCUGUAUAAUAUCACAGGAUCCAGUGCACCUCCUGAGGAUGUUGCAUGUAGUGACAAUGUCGGGAGAGAUGUGGUACAGGAGAGAGGUAAAAGACGUACACACAUAGGCUAAAACAGCAUGUGCUCACACUCAAACACACACACGCGCAUGCACAUGCACACACAAACACAGUGUUUUAUUAUGUCUAUGUGGUUAAGAUUCUUCAACAUUACAGCAUCACUCUAUAUUUACUAAACAAGACCACAGACUGAUGCAGACUGAUGCUCACAUCUGGUUUUUGUCUUAAUUUAGGAGUCGGCAAUGAGCGACCGAUCUAUGAAAACAAUGAACAUGAUCCAACCAGAAUGCAGCAUGAUCCGACCAGAAUUCACCAUGAUCCGACCACAAUUCAGCACGAUCCGACCAGAAUUCAGCACGAUCCAACCAGAAUUCAGCAUGAUCCCACCAGAAUUCAGCAUGAUCCCACCACAAUUCAGCACGAUCUGUCCAGAAUUCAGCAUGAUCCCACCACAAUUCAGCAUGAUCCAACCAGAAUUCAGCAUGAUCCAACCAGAAUUCAACAUGAAGCACAAAGAAACCAGCACGAACCAGUUAGAUACAAAAAUAAAUUGAGAGAUUCGAGUGAGAACAGAAGACAGGGGUUUCAUGGAGAACUCAUGAGCAGAUUGCGCCAAUCAAGUCUCGGACAGCGUUACUAUGCAAACCAAGCCGAUAUCAACCAGCAAACCAGAGUUCAGAUGGACAACCACCAAAGAGCAAACGAAGCAAAGAUCAACCAGGAUGGCAGAUCCCAAAUGGACAACUGCCAAAGAGCUGUCCUACACACUAUGCUUUACAGUAAUCUCUGAAACAAAUCAAUAUGCACUCUAGCAUUUUGUUAUUAAAGCAUUGUCUCCUCAUUGCAGGAAGCUUUUGGAGAAAGAAACCCAAAGAGCGUAAGUUGCUUUUUUUUUUACACACAACAUACUGUAUAAUCAUAAUAAUUUAUAUUAAGACCUCUCUCUCUCCCAGAAUGUGAAUAUGAAAACCCAAUCUAUAACAGUGUAGUCCAACUCCACAAACUAUAGACGAGGAUGAAGAGGAUACUGGGUCUCAACUCCUUGGUCUCAAUUUUGUUUAGAUUGUAUUUUAUUAUUUUUUGUAAAUAAAGUACAUUACAUUGUCUUGAAAGUGAAACAAAUAUGAAAUAAAGUUAAAUCAUUUUAAAA